rnacentral:rRNA from 1 species
CGGGGUGCAGCAGGCGCGAAAACUUUACAAUGCUGGAAACAGCGAUAAGGGGACCUCGAGUGCCAGGUUACAAAUCUGGCUGUCGUGAUGCCUAAAAAGCAUUGCAUAGCAAGGGCCGGGCAAGACCGGUGCCAGCCGCCGCGGUAACACCGGCGGCUCGAGUGGUAACCGUUAUUAUUGGGUCUAAAGGGUCUGUAGCCGGCCGGAUAAGUCUCUUGGGAAAUCCAGCAGCUCAACUGUUGGGCUUUCAGGAGAUACUGUCUGGCUCGAGGCCGGGAGAGGUGAGAGGUACUUCAGGGGUAGGGGUGAAAUCUUGUAAUCCUUGAAGGACCACCAGUGGCGAAGGCGUCUCACCAGAACGGACCUGACGGCAAGGGACGAAAGCUAGGGGCACGAACCGGAUUAGAUACCCGGGUAGUCCUAGCCGUAAACGAUACUCGCUAGGUGUCGGCCACGGUGCGACCGUUGUCGGUGCCGUAGGGAAGCCGUGAAGCGAGCCACCUGGGAAGUACGGCCGCAAGGCUGAAACUUAAAGGAAUUGGCGGGGGAGCAC